rnacentral:tmRNA from 1 species
GGGGGUGACUGGUUUCGACUUCGUACGUUGCGGCAGGGGAAGCGAGCCGAGGAAGCCGACGUUGUCUCGUGAAUCAUUCGUCGGAAAGUAAUAAGCGCCAAUGUUAAGCGCUCUGAUCUCGCUCUUGCUGCCUAGUCAGCGAGGGUAAUGAGAUCUGUCGGCCUAGGAACGCCUUCGGCCUAGAUCCCGGCAUCAGCUAGAAGGCUGGCCAAGCGAACGCGGUCACGGCGUUCGGGCGGUGAGAUUAAAUGUGGCUGGGCCCGUCACUCCGACUUGCUCGCGUGAGCGGAGGGGCCGAGUAGAGGCACAGCGAGCUGCGCUCGGAGAAGCCCUGACAAGGCGGCGAAGGACCCGGGUUCGAUUCCCGGCACCUCCACCA